AUUGAACGCUGGCGGCAUGCCUUACACAUGCAAGUCGAACGGCAGCACGGGAGCAAUCCUGGUGGCGAGUGGCGAACGGGUGAGUAAAGUAUCGGAACGUGCCCAGUCGUGGGGGAUAACGUAGCGAAAGUUACGCUAAUACCGCAUACGAUCUAUGGAUGAAAGCGGGGGAUCGCAAGACCUUGCGCGAUUGGAGCGGCCGAUAUCAGAUUAGGUAGUUGGUGGGGUAAAGGCUCACCAAGCCGACGAUCUGUAGCUGGUCUGAGAGGACGACCAGCCACACUGGGACUGAGACACGGCCCAGACUCCUACGGGAGGCAGCAGUGGGGAAUUUUGGACAAUGGGCGCAAGCCUGAUCCAGCCAUGCCGCGUGCAGGAUGAAGGCCUUCGGGUUGUAAACUGCUUUUGUACGGAACGAAAAGGUUUGACUUAAUACGUUGGACUCAUGACGGUACCGUAAGAAUAAGCACCGGCUAACUACGUGCCAGCAGCCGCAGUAA
rnacentral:rRNA from 1 species